CUUGUGUCAGUGUAUGGAAACAUGAUCGUGUUGAGAUUAUUGCCAAUGAUCAAGGGAAUAGGACGACGUCGUCUUAUAUUGGAUUUACUGAUUCUGAACAUCUCAUUGGUGAUGCCGCUAAGAAUCAAGUCGCCAUGAUUCCUAUUAACAUUGUUUUUGGUAAGUUUUAAGCUCAGAUCUGUUGUUAAAUCUUAAUUUUUUUGUGGUUUGUGAUUUUAGCUUGUUUCGUUGUUUAAUGGUAGAGUUGUUGUUAGAUCUAGUGUGAAUAUUGACCUAUUGCAUAAUGCCCUUGUUUCUGUUAAUAGUAGUUGAAUGGAUGUAGUAGUAAUUGUUUUGGUAAAUAGUGUUAAUACGUAUUACCUUCUCGGUUGAUGAAGGUAACUGUUUUAGAAUUGUGUUUGUUAUGAAUUAUUUCUAACCAAUUGUUGAUUUAGGACUUUGAGCCACUUGUAGCGAAGUACUACUAGCACAGCUAUCGUCUAUCUAUAUAUGAGUUAAUCUAGACAUUUAGUUGAAUGCUAUCGAUGCCCAAUGUCUUAAUUCAUAUGCCAAUGGCUUAUUCGUAAUUUCAUGUUCAUGUUUGCUAGCCAUAUCGGGACUGUGCACAUAUUACCCUUCCCAUACCCCACCUUGUGAGACUAUACUGGGUAGUUGUAGUGGUUGUUGUUGUUGUUAUUUGCUAGCCAUAUCCAUAUUAACAAAGGCAAAUGCUGAAUUUAAUCUAUAUAUGAGUUAAUCUAGAUAUUUAGUUGAAUGCCAUCGGUGCCCUAUGUCUUAAUUCAUAUGCCAAUGGCUUAUUCGUAAUUUUUUGUUCAUGUUUGCUAGCCAUAGACGUAUUAACAAAGGCAAAUUCUGGAUUUAAGCUUCAUGGUUUAAACCUUAAGGUUCUUAUCAUUGAACCUAUUAUAUUUUCAAAGCUAGGGGUUCAUAUCUACUACUUAUUGCAAUCUAAUCUAAUUUGUUGUGUCCUGGCACGUUCAUACUGCAUUCUCCCCUGGUCAUUUAGGUUGUUCCACCAAAAUAUCUGACUUAAUAAGGAUUUUUUUGACUGCUACUUGUUUAAUAUUCAUGCUGCUAUCAUUGAUUCUUAAUGUUUUCCUGAAUUUAAUCGUCUUUGGAUGUUAUGUUACGUUUUGUGCUAUAGUUGCCAUUCAAGCAUAGCGUGUGUUGUUUUUUUAAGGAGGGGGGAUUUAACUUCUGAAUUAAAUAGUUUUGAAGUAAAGAUUGCAUGUGAUUGAAUCAAUGCUUUCUAUGGUUUUUCCAAUGGAAGAUGCCAAAAGGCUUAUUGGAAGGAGGUUAAGUGAUGCCUUUAUACAGAGUGACAUCAAAUUGUGGCCUUAAAAGGUUAUUUUCGAGCCUGGUGACAAGCCAAUGAUUGUUGUCAACUGCAAGGGUGAAGAGAAGCAGUUUGCUGCUGAAAAAAUCUCUUCCAUGGUGCUUAUAAAGAUGAAGGAAAUUGCCGAGGCCUUCCUUGGAUCAACUGUGAAAAAUGUUGUGGUUAUUGUACCUGCAUACUUCAAUGACUCACAAUGUAAACCAACUAAGGAUGCUGGUGUCAUAUCUGGCUUGAAUGUCAUGCGUAUUAUUAAUGAGCCCACAGCAGCGGCCAUUGCAUAUGGUUUUGACAAGAAAGCAACAAGUGUUGGUGAGAAGAACAUUCUUAUCUUUGAUCUAGGUGAUGGUACUUUCGAUGUGUCCCUCCUUACCAUUGAAGAAGGUAUUUUUGAAGUGAAAGCUACAACAGGAGACACUCACCUUGGAGGUGAAGAUUUUGAUAACAGAAUGGUGAACCAUUUGUCCAGGAGUUCAAAAGAAAGCACAAGAAGGACAUUACUGGUAACCCAAGAGUCCUUAGAAGAUUGAGGACAGCAUGUGAGAGGGCGAAGAGAACUCUUUCUUCCACUACCCAGACAACAAUUGAAGUUGAUUCCUUGUAUGAGGGUGUUGAAUUCUAUUCCAUAAUUACUCGUGCUAGAUUUGAGGAGUUGAACAUGGAUCCUUUCAGGAAGUGUAUGGAGUCAGUUGAGAAAUGUUUGCGGGACGCCAAGAUGGAAAAAUAUUGUACAUUAUAUUGUUCUUAUUGGUGGAUCUAGUAGAAAUUCCCAAGGUACAACAGCUGUUGCAAAACUUCUUUAAUGGCAAGGAGCUUUGCAAGAGCAUCAACCCAGAUGAGGUUGUUGCGUAUGGUGCAGCUGUGCAAGCUAGCCAUUCUAAGCGGAGAGUGUAACGAGAAGGUUCAAGACUUGUUGCUUUUGGAUGUCACCCCUCUAUAUCUUGGGUUGGAAACUGCUGGAUGAGUGAUGAUUGACUUGAUUUGAAGGAAUACCACUAUUCCUACCAAGAAAUAGCAAGUGUUCUCUACAUAUUCUGACAACCAACCUGGAGUGUUGAUUCAGGUGUACAAGGGUGAGAGAGAAAGAACUAGAGACAACAACUUGCUGGAUAAAUUUGAGCUUUUUAGUAUCCCUCCUGCACCUAGGGUUGUGCCUCAGAUCACAGUCUGCUUUGAUAUUGAUGCCAAUGGUAUCUUGAACAUCUCUGCUGAAGACAAGACCACUGGACAAAAGAACAAAAUCACUAUUACCAAUGACAAGGGUAGGUUGUCAAAGGAAGAAAUUGAAAAGAUGGUCCAGGAAGCAGAGAAGUACAAGGCAGAGGAUGAAGAACACAAGAAGAAGGUAGAGGCCAAGAACGCACUGGAGAACUAUGCCUACAACAUGAGGAACACCAUAAAGGAUGAGAAGAUUGGUUCUAAGCUAAGCCCAGACGACAAAAAGAAGAUUGAGGAUGCGAUUGAUCAGGCAAUCUCAUGGCUUGUAAGAACGCACUAUACAACUAUGCCUACAAUAUGAGGAACACCAUAAAGGACGAGAAGAUUUGUUCUAAGCUAAGCCCAUAUGAGAAGAGGAAUAUUGAGGAUGCGAUUUAUCAGGCAAUCUCAUGGCUUGACAGCAACCAGCUUACUGAAGCUGACGAGUUUGAAGAUAAGAUGAAGGAGCGCGAGAGCAUCUGCAACCUCAUAAUUGCCAAGAUGUACCAAGGUGCUGGUGGUGAGUUCGAGUCUCCCCAAGAGCAAGGUGGGAAGUUCUUUGAGGGAAGGAUGUCGGGGGUCUUUCAAGUAGCUUUUUGCUAUUCAAUUUAAAAUAUCAAGUCAUCUCAUAAAACAUUUUAUAGUCAUUUUCACCUCUUUGUACUAUUAGCAUAUAUAUACCAACAAUCUGAUUCUACAUACCGAGGGGUUGCUCUGAUGAUAAGCAACCCCCACUUCUAACCGAGAGGUUGUGAGUUCGAGUCUCCCCAAGAGCAAGGUGGGAAAUUCUUUGAGGGAAGGAUGUCGGGGGUCUAUUUGGAAACAACUUCUCUAUCCUAGGGUAAGGGUAAGGUCUGCGUACAUACUAUCCUCCCCAGACCCCACUAUGUGGGAUUAUACUGGGUUGUUGUUGUUAUUGUCGUACCAAGGUGCUGGUGGUGAAGCAGGUGCAACUAUGGAUAAUGAUGCUCCUCCAACUGGUGGUAGCGGUGCAAGCCCCAAGAUUGAGGAGGUCGACUAAGUGUGUGGAGUGAUCAAUGCUUGAUUUCUGUUUUAGUACAAUACUUAUAUUGGGUACUUUUAAUACUUUUGCAAUGGUUAACUGGGUAUUAUAUUGGUUUUCUUGAGAAUUGUAUGCUGUUAAAUUUUCAUCUUUGAUGGCUUUAGAAUAGCAUCAUUGAUUUUGCGUUGUUAAUGUCUAGUUAUUAGUUGCUUUUUCGAGGAAGUAUAACACUCUAGCUAUUAUCUUAUUACAUUGAGUUUUGGAUGCAAUUUUAGCCUCAAAUUUUUGUUCUUGUUUUUUGUACCUUGAAGAUAGAAGUAUCUUGUCUCUCUGGAUCACUCGCAGAAUUCCAAUUCCACAACAUAAUAGUGAAGAUGGCUCAAGUUUGGGAUUUGUAUUCCGCAAGACUUGGAUUAGAUUUUUGUCUUAGAUGGUUAUUUUGCUAGUUAACAGGAGUGAUAAAAAGUACUUCAAUGAAGAAAUAGGUAUAUUUUUCAUGUUAAUCACAGAGAGAAAAAAAAGGAAAACGGACUAAAGGUAAACUACCUUUUGCUCACCCGUGAAAAGCAUAAUAGGUAACAAAGCUAUUUAUUGGUUUCUUUACUUCCUUACCUCGGGUAGGUUGAAUCUAAGAUGAAUAGGGUCAAAAAAUUUUGUCGGUCUUUUUAAACUUUUUCCUUAAUUUUAUGACCUUACCUUUUUUGGAUUUUUUACACGUAAGAGAUCUAAGACGGUUAUUUUUUUAAAUUAAAAAUUGUAAAGGGGAAUUAUUGAUACUCCCACUUCUGUUUACCAUUAAAAUAGAAUAACAAUUAAACUUAUAAUGUGGCUUUAAGAACACGUAACUUCACUUAAUAAAAAUUGGUAAAUGUGAAAAUUAGUAAUAGAAAUUAACAAUAAGAUAAAGCAAACUAGUGUUGUAACGUAAUUCAACCCUCAAGCUAGAGUGCCCUCAAACUGGUUAAUGCCAAAACAGUUAAGAAAUAAGUAAGCUAAUGAACAAGAAUAUAAGCUAGAGAGAAAAUGGUAUAUUAUUUUGAUAUGUGUGAACAAUGUGUGUUACAAAUGUUUAGAACCCUCUUUUGUAUAGUAGAGGAAUUUUACUUAUGGUAUAACUCUAAUAAUAGAAGAAAAUCACAUGAUUAACUAACUAACCUUUCCUGAUUUGACCCGUUCUGAGAUUAACGCCAUGAUCUUCGACCAGUCACGGAUAUCUCGCCUUUCUAUUAUUGUGUUAUCUCCGAUUUUGCUCGAUGUCUAUCUCGUUUUUCUCGAGCUCCACAGGCUUCGAUCUCGAUGGGUACAUUGAUUCUUGAACUCGGUACCUGGUUCUUGUGUUUUCGUCUGAUCCGAUAAUCCCCUCGUUUUUAGAGUAAUGACAAGAAACGAAUUGAGCCUUCUAUUUUUUACCUCGACCUGUCAUGACGUCAUCCCCGUGACAUAAGCAAAGGAAGUGACUGAUAUGUCAUGUCGAUACAGUUUCUCAAGUCAUUAAUGGGUGUCAGCUGGUGGUCAACCACUAGUGCCUUUGAACUAUCGCCGUGAAUCCCAUAAAUAGGCCCUUUUCUCAUUGAUUUUACUUUCACUUUCUUCUAAUCUCUAAAUCUUUUACAUCUCUUAAGUUCUUCCUUUCUGCAAAAUCAUUAGGGCUUAUUGCUAAUCCCCUCUCAAAAACCAAGUCCUAUUACCUUCUUCUCUCUUCAAACUCAUACCAAAAUGCCAAAAAUAUCAAAAACUGUUCCUCAAAAGAAAAACUCUUCUUCAUCAGGGGCGGCCGGUGAGCCGUGCCUUGAGUAAUGUGUUCUCGAGGGACGUGUCCUUACGUCUGACGUUAAGAUCGAGAAAACUUUAUUGUUCCCCGGUCAAUGCGAGACAAUGUCGAGGUAUAUAUGCUCAAUAACCGGAAGUCUCCUUAAGUAUGCAGAAAAAGGCUGCAGCUGGGAAGGCAAAAAUGUGGUGAUUCCAGCCCAUGAAGAAGACAUCACUACCUAUGUGGAAGGGUUUCUAAGUGUUUACACUUACCCUUUUACGCUACACCAUCUCGAUCCCGUCAUCAUCAAUUUUUUCUACAAAUAUAAAAUAACCCUAGGUCAAAUCCAUCCCUCAUUUUGGCGGAUUUUUAUUCUGCUCCGAUUCUUCAUGAGAAAAGUCAAGGGGAUUCCCUUUAGCCUCAACCGCCUCAUCAGGUGAUACAAACUUCAUCUCUAUUGAGGCGGGUUAAUAAAACUUCAGUGUCGGACUACCAAGGUGUUGUUCUCAAGCAUAAACGAGGACAUAGAUCGAGGAUGGAUGGAUUGAUUCGUUCUAGUGAAUACCUUUGACAUAAUCCCAGUCGAGAAGAUGCCAUUUCCCGAGAAAUAGAAUAUGACGCAUCAAUACAAUCCCACUUUUAGCUUUCAUUUAUUGUUUUGUUUCCUUUGUUUCUUCGUACCGAUAUCAUUUUCCAUGAUGUAGCGGUCUUUUGGAUGCCUGGUGCAAUUCCUAACCUCGAGAGCUGGAUUUGGGACCUUGCCUCGAAUUCUUUGUAUGCUGAGCUCAUGGCGAGAUUUAGCAAGGAGGCGAUAGGAGGCCAAAAAUCAUGGUAAGCCCCUUUUCAUGUAUUUAAUGUAUUUUUUGUUAAAGCGUUUUUUCAUACUCACUUAAUUCCAUUUCCUACAAGCCUUGGAAAAUAUGCUGUCAUGAGGCCCCCGUAUGGUGAGGAGGAGAGUUCGCCGUAGCCCAGAAACCGCUGAAGGAUAAAAAGAGGAAAAUGAUAUCAACCCCGAGGAUCCAAAGCCCAAGAAAAAUCCGACUCAUAAGCUGAAGAAAGACACUGUCUCCAUGCUUGCAUAGGUAUUUCAGUGGAUAAUGGAGGAAGAAAAAAGAAGAAAAUAAAGACGACAACACCAAGCUGGUAGCCCGUGUGAAGAGGAACAUCAAGGCUCCAAAAUCCUCUAAGUUAGUGAGGGUUGAAAAGAUUUCGCCUCGAACCGAGGAUCUUGGAAGAGGACCCGGGCAAAGUCCCAGAGUUGUUGGAGGCUGGAGAUGCCUCCCGCUAAAAUGAGCAAGCAGCGGCUAUGUUUGAAGGGUCCUGCUCUGAGGCCCUUCGAAAUAAAGAGAACGCCCCAAGUGACUCACUUGCAGCAAUAGUAAUUGGAGACUCGCCAAUUCUACUUGCAUUUUUUGGGGAGGCAAUUCAGGGUGCACAAGCCAUGAGGACUCCCGAUGUGGAAGGAGCCCACAGAAGGGAGGACCUCUUUCGUGGUUACAGUACCGGAUUCGAAGAUGCUACCGACCUGAGUGAAGCAUCGAGUCUCUUUGAUGCGGCUCAACAAGUACUGAUUUAGGUAACUCUCAACUCCCCUCAUCGAUAUUGCACUUGUGUUUGUUUAUUUUUUUCUUAUUUAAUUUCCUUUCCUCUUUACGCAUAGGCCUUGGCACUCCAUCAUGAGGCGUUUUCCAAAUCUCGAGCAGAGCUGAGCGAUAUGAGGACGAUAUUCAAAGACUCACAGAUGAGAGAAAUGCCCUCAAACUUCUCAGCGGGCAAAAAGAAGAGGAGAUUAAGGACCUCCGAGCCGAAUUGGCCACGACUCACCAAGAGUAGACUAACCUGAUUGAAACGUAAUAAAAAUCUUAGAAGCUCAUGGUAUCAUUUUGGAGACGAUGGCUAACAUUUAAAACUUACGGGUUCAUUAGAAGUCCGAGAGUAUCAAAUAGCUCCGUGAGGAGAAUUACAUGAUGAAGGCGGAGAACUUGGGGUGGAAACAAAACAUGGACCGCCUUGCCUUAGAGAAAGAGGCUGAUCAAGACAAAUUAUUAUCUGCCGAAAGUCAGCUUCAAGGAACCUUAGGAUUUUAUUUUUUGAUCUUUUGUGUAGGACCUUGAUCAGUCAUUGUAAAUAUCUUUAUAUAUAAAAAUACCUCUAUUCUCUUUGACUUGUUUUCAUUUCAAUUUCUGCCUUGUGUUUCAUUCAUGUCUUAUGAAAAUUUUGUUCACAAGUUCGAAGCUUAGGCAAUUUGAUUGAGGUCUGGCAAGUGUAGUAUUUACAAUCAAGUGAGUAACUGCUCAAACUUGAAGUAGGAUGAUCUUUAGGUUUUAGUUGAGUGAGGAUGCCUUCUCGAACUCAAAGAAAAAAUGGUUUUUGGGCUCUUGAAUUAGACCGAUAUGGCCUUAAAAGAAUGGCUUUUUUCCCUUUUCGGCUAAAAAAAGUUAAUCUAAUAAAAAUUUGUUAUGCCUUAGCAUGAAAUAAGGUUGUUCGAGAGUUCGAACAAUUCAGUACCCCUUAGGAUUUUUUAGGGUUGAUAUUAUCGAAACCCUUUAUAAUUUUUCCGAGAGUAGCCUUUUUAAUCGGUUUUGGAAACAUAUUAGAAGGCAUGUUUUAGCCGUAGCCUUUAACUUGGGAUUUGCCUCGUGGGCUUGUUUCUCGAUUAUACUUCAAACUCAUUAGAAGUGUCAGUACUCGAAUGGGGUAGCCGUGGCCAAUAAAAAUGAGGAUUGCCUUUUCAAGGUCUUAAUCUCAAGACUUUUAUAAUUCGACGUUGAUUUUUUAGACAACAGCCCCUGAGUGUGGAGUAAGUUGUUUUAACUUCAGUUAUGAUAGGCCCUUAAGCCUGUUUUCACAAUAGACCAAAAUUAUG
rnacentral:lncRNA from 1 species